ensembl:snRNA U2 U2 spliceosomal RNA
UCAACUUUUUGGAAUGUAAUUUGUAAAACAAAGAUGAUUUUCUGUAAUGUACAAUAAAAUAAUAAAAAAAAAAAAAAAAAAAAAAAAUCUGUUCUUAUCAGUUUAAUAUCUGAUACGUCCCCCAGCGGGGGACUACAUAUUAAGCGGAUUUUUAGAACAGGGAGUCGGCAAAGGAGCUUGCUCCAUCCGCUCCACGCAUCGACCCAGUAUUGCAGUGCCUCUGGGAGCGGUGCACUUUCU